GGAAGUAGGGCAUGAUCUGACCUAAUUUUGAUGACGUAUAAUGUAUGCACACGAUACCCUUUCACCCCAGAAACAGUGUAGCCAAUCACAGAAGGUGUUAAGAAACACUGAGUAUUUUUUUCGAGUGAUAGAUCGAUGUUGACCUUUACCCAAAAUAGGCUCAGCAGUUCGUGUUACAUACAGCAAAAUCCCAGCAGUUUAUGGGUUAAGCAUUAAUUUUUACAUUUUAAUGGCUUUUCUUUCUUUAUAGCUAACUUUGUACCAUAGUGAUUAAAUUCAUAUUGAUUUUACUCAUUUAACCCUUUCGUUACUGUAUUUAUUCUGAGAUGAUCUGUGUUUCUUUCAAUUACUUUAAAUAUAACAAAGAAUUUAGUGAAAUAACUUAGUUACCAUUAAGCUAGUGUUAGGAACAUAAAUUAUGACUAAGGUUUGGUGGAAGAUUUUAAUUCAAGGCUUAUGAAAACAAGACAUUUGUAGUCAGAGCCAGAGCCGGUUUCAGCCGGGUUGGUAACAAAAGGGUUAAAAUGAAUUUAGAUAUAACCUAUAUCAGACAUUGCAUGCCUUAUGAAUUCAAAUGGGGCACUUCAACAAUGCAAAUGACAAGAAAUAUUUGUUCUGGCCAUAGACAUGAAGCUUUAAGUGUCUGGACAUGCCAGAGGUGCCUGGCCAGUUUUUCUUGAAAACUCAUUCUCUUGUAGAUUCCCCUCAAUCUAGACAGCCAACUAUUCUUUUCAUGGAGAAUUCAAAGCAGACUGCUUGACAGUUAGCAAAAUAGUUGAAUUCAAUUCACACUUUGAUCAUAAAACCCCUUUUUGAUAUCUUUGGUAUCAAAAGGUUAGAUACAUUAAAACCGAAGAUGCAUCUGUUUUUUUUUCCCCAUCUUGAAAUGCAACCAGACUUACUUUCCAACCCAAGUAUAUAUAUAUAUAUAUAUAUAUAUACACAUAUAUAUAUAAUAUCUUCAUUUAACAAUGUCUAAUACCACUAAUGGCUAUGUAUCUUUCUUCUAUUCUUUUAUGGCAAAAAAGGCUGAAAUCUGUGGAAAUUACAAAAAACGGCUGCUUAAUAUUAAUCUGUGAGUUGUAAACUAAAACAGACUUAAAAACCUAUGAUAAUGGUAGACAGGUUGUAGUUUGUUCAUACGAUUUACCUUGGCUUACCUGAGCUGUAGAUGAUGUGUUUUUUGUCACAUUUGCAUUCCACAAAAUUAUAUCUAUUUUAUGCAGAUUCUGAGAUUGUUAACCAAAAGAAACGACGUGAGGAAAUGCCUGCAUAUGAGCAGUGUGAGAACCACGACAACCCGUUAAGAUGUCCUGUGAAACUUUAUGAAUUCUAUUUGUCGAAAUGCCCCGAGAGUAUUAAAAACCGCAAUGAUGUCUUCUACUUGAUCCCGGAAAGAUCAUGUGUCCCCGACAGUCCCGUGUGGUACUCAACCCAAUCCUUAUCCAGUGACAUAAUGACCAAAAUGCUGAAUCGAAUACAUUUGGUGAAAGAAAUACAAGAAGCUUGUAUAAACACACAACCAGUCUAUAUGUAAAACUAAAAACCUCUUUCCUCAUUUCUUCUCUCCGUCUCUUUUUUCCCCUUUUUAAAAAAUUUUUUUUAAAAGAUUUCCGUCAUCUUCUCUUCCUCCUUUUCUCACUACCCUUUCCCUCUCUCUCUCUCUCUCCCGCAUCCUCCAUCACCUCAUCUUUUUCUUCUUCUUCCUCCUUUAACGAAUUCAUUUUUUAUUUAUUUAUUUUUAUUUUCUUACGUUUUUUUUUGUUUUUUUUCCCCCCCAUUUUGUUUCCGAUGGCAUUAGCUACCACCAACAUCACCAUCAACUAGCAUAACAUAACGUCAUGCAGUUUUUACAUGUUGCUUCACAUCGUACAUCAUGCAUUGCAUCGUGUCACAACAUUGCAUCACAUUGCAUCACAUCACACCACUUACAUUGCAUCACCUCUCAGCAUCCCCGCCCCAUCCACCAUCACUUCCUUCUCAAGCCAUUUGGUUUUACAGCCGUCCUUCCUCUUAGAGACAGCUCUUCAAAUCUUUCAAUUCUACAACAAGAAUUUGAAGAAAGAACAUCAUGAGAUAUCAUAACAAUAAUAAUAAUAAUAAUAAUAAUAAUAAUAAUAAUAAUGAUAAUAAUAAUAAACCAUAAGAUGGCUGAUAGUUUUCUAUUCAAGUUGUUACAGCAAAAAAAAAGUAUUAAUUUUUUUUGGCUUUCUACGUUCCAGUAUUCCUACCUCCUACCCCCACCAUCUUCUCCAUGUUUCCAGUCUCAUCAUCAUCAUCAUCAUCAUCAUCAUCAUCAUUAUUAUCAUUAUUAUUACUUAGGUAAUGAGCUGGCAGAGUCGUUAGCAAUUUAGGCGAAAUGCUUAUCGGCAUUUUGUCUCUCUUUACGUUCUGAGUUCAAAUUCUGCUGAGGUCGACUUUGGCCUUUCAUCCUUUCAGGGUCAAUAAAUUAAGUACCAGUGAAGUACUGGGGUUGAUCUAGUCGACUGGCCCCUUCCCCCCAAAAACUUCAGGCCUUGUGCCUAGAGUAGAAAAGAUUAUUAAUUUUAUUAAGAUGGCAAGCUGGUAGACUCAUAAGCAUGCUGGACAAAAUGUUUAGUGGCGUUUCAUCCGUCGUUAUGGUCUGACUUCAGAUUCUGCCAUGGUUGACUUUGCCUUUUCAGGGUCAAUAACAUCAGUACCAUGGAUGUAACCGACUCGGCCCCUUGCCCCCAGAAUUUCAGGCCUUGUCCCAAAAAUUAGAAAGGAUUAUUGUUAAGGUGGUAAGCUGGCAGAAUCGUUAGCACGCUGGACGAAAUGCAUAGCAGUAUUUCAUCUGCCGUUACGUUCGGGGUUCAAAUUCCACCAAGGUCGACUUUGCCUUUCAUUAGUUCGGGGUCGAUAAAUUAAAUACCAGUGAAAUUGUGGGGUUGAUCUAGUUGACUUGUCCCCUCCCUCCAAAACUUCAGAAUUACUAUUAUUAUUAUUAUUAUUAAGCCAGCGAGCUGGCAGAACCAAUUAGCAUGUUGGGUGAAACGCUUAGUGGUAUUUCAUCUGUCUUCGCAUGCUGUGUUCAAACUCUGCUGAAGUCGACUGUUCCCUUCAUCCUUUUGGGGUCGAUAAAAGAAGUACCAGUUGAGUACUGAGGGGUCAAUGUAAUCGACUCGUCUGCCGUUACGUUUUGAGUUCAAAGUCUGCCGAGGUCGACUUUGCCUUUCAUCCUUUCAGGGUCGAUAAAUUAAGUACCAGUUACGCACUGGGGUCGAUGUAAUCGACUUGAUCCCUUUGUCUGUCCUUGUUUGUCCCCUCUAUUUUUAGCCUCUUGUAGGCAAUAAAGAAAUAAGAAAGGAUUAUUAUUAUUAUUAUUAUUAUUAUUAUUAAGGCAGCAAGCUGGCUGAAUCAUUAGCAAGUUGGACGGAAAUGCUUAAUGGCAUUCCUUUUGGCUCGUUACUUUCUGAGUUUAAAUACCACCGAGGUCAGCUUUGCCUUUUAUCCUUUUGAGGGUCAAUAAAAUAAAGUACCAGUUAAGUGCUGGGGUUGUUGUAAUCGACUUCCUGCUCCCCCGCCCCAAAUUUCUGACUUUAUGCUGAAAUUAGAAAGAAUUAUUGUUUGGAUUCACAUUCGGUACAAAUGACAUUUAAAAGUUUUGUGUAUUCUCUUCAUCAGCCAUGACCAUGUGGGAAUCCAUGUCUCUGUUUCCCCUCCUUCUUCCAUCUCCAUCUCUUCACUCAUCACUCACCGAUUGCCGGACAUACACACACACACACAGAGACAGACAGAGGCAGAUGAAUAAUCAUAAUCGGACACAUUGACUCAGUGGCAAUCCACCUUAAUUAACAUAAAGGACUACACACACAGAAUGGGCCUGCUUUCUCAGAAGACCACACACACACACACACACACACACACACACACACACACACUUAUAUACACAUGCUCACACACACACCACCUCACAUACAGACUUAUAAAUACAGAGCUGUCUGCUCCUAAAGACCAACUCUACACACACACACACACACAUGCGCUUACAUUCACUAGGUGAUCCAUCAGAUGUGAGACCUAAACAUGGAGGAGUCUGCUUCAUUAAACCUACACACACAAAGUGGUCUGUCAGACACAAGGACUAAUAAAAUACAGAAAUGUCUGCUCUCUUACACACACACACACACACACACCGUUGCAUGUGAGAUCCAGUUAUUGUUGUUCAUUCCAUAGAUUUGCUACCAUUAUUCCUCCAUUCUGUUAUUCUUGUUUUUUUCGAACUACUGACACAGCUAACAUUACCACGCAUACAUAGAUGUUUGUAUAUACAUACACACACACAUAUACAGAUACAUACAUACAGAUCUACAAUUAUAUAUAUAUAUACAUACAUAUAUAUAUGGUAUAUAUGUGUGUGUGUAUAUUGUAUGCAUAUAGAUGUAUAUGUCUUGAUAUUUUGCCAGAUGUUGGGGAAGUAAGGGAGAGAGACCCAUCUUUCCUUUCCUUCUAUUUCAUUAAAAACUGAAAAAUGAAAAAAAAAAAAUAUUAAAAAAUAUUUAAAAAAAAAAUAUAAACAAACAAACUAGAAUUCAUCCUUACAAAAUGAAGGUCUUGUGCUUUUUGUAUGUUUCUUCUUAGAAAGAAAACUUCUUAAUAAACGAUAAAUAAAACUUGACAUUUUUUUUUUUAAAGCCCA